GUCAGUAACCCAGCCCUAAAGGGACUGGGCUUGCAAGAGUAAUCAAGCAAGCCGUGCUGACCAGACCACCCUGAGUUUACUCUCAUCGUAGCCGUUAUUUGAGUCACGACACCCUGGAAUGCGAAGCUAGUUCCCCGCUCUGUC
rnacentral:sRNA from 25 species